rnacentral:lncRNA from 1 species
UACAUUUUUCAAGGAUUAUCUUGCUAGCACACUGUUCUCUCCACAUCUGACAUAAAGCAGGUUGCAACUUCCUCAAAGACUGGCCUGAAAUACCCAUCCCACGGUACUGUGGGUCAAGAGAAGGGAAGGGAAGAUUGUGUUGUAUAUUUUUAAAGGUAGAAAAAAAAUUUUUUCAAGUCAUAAAGUAUGGCAAAGGUCAUUUCCCUUCACUUGCAAGGAUCUCAGGCAGGUUCCCAGGCCAUCUGGAAACUAAACUGAAGCACAGAGAGGUGAAAUGAUUUCCCCAAGUUCCCACAGGACAGAGAGCAGCAUGCUAUCCUCACCCCAUCCCCAGAGUGCCUUCUACAUGCAGCUUCCUCUGCUUCCAUGAAUGCCAUCCACCUGCCAGUGCCCUGGGAGUGACCCACUGGAAAAUCCCACUCACCACUGAAAACAGGUGCAGUCCAUUCUGGCUGGUGCUUGUGUCCUUUACCAUUUUCUGAAUUUUCACCUGCCCGAGGCCUCCCCUCCUCUCCUGGCUCUUCAGAAUGUUGUCAGCUCUGCUAGACACCCCACCCCACUCCCUGUCUACUUAAACUGCUGCUAUAUAAUCCCUAAUUGAGAGGUCAAAUUUUCACAGAGUGAUUUGAGUUGCAGGUAGGAAGUAUUUUCCCAGCAGGUUGUGAACUGUGUAAGAUGAUAUAGAAUUGUGGGCUAUACUAUGGUAUAGAAGUCUGCUCCCGCCUUGUGAGAGUUCUAGUAUUCUCCUCACGUGUGGCUGAAUUCAGUUGUCUUUUUUAAGCUUUGGAUCUGCCCUUUGAAACCAGCUAUCUUUCUCAAAGACAAAGGCAUCGUAUCUCUAGAAGUUCCUGCUCUUGCGCCUUCUUCAGAGCAUGCACAUGGUGGAUAUUUAUUAGUUUGCUUCGCAUUUUUCCAACAGAAACUAGUGCAGAGGCAAUUUCUUAACUCUGCUCCUUCCAUUUUCUCUGCUGGUUCACUUUGGCCUGUCUCAGAGGCUGACCUGGAACGAUCCUGUCCAGAAGGACCUUGUAUGCUCUUCCAGCCACAGACUCUUAGGGCUGGGAGAGACUCUUAAUGCAGCUCCCCAACGUUAUGGAGGAGAUGGAGUUCAGAGAGGUCCUUUAACCAAUGUGCAGCAAAGAGUGUUAGGCUGGAACGGAGAUCUCUUCCCUCCUGGUCAGGGCUAUUUAUUCUAGGACAGUGGCUGUCAGGCUGUGUUCUCACAGGAAGCCGGUGCUCAGGCAGCUGGGCUGAGGUCCUCUCAUGCCAAACCAAAUAUCGGAGGUAGUUCACCAACCUUGCGGCCUCGCCCCUCUUCCGCCGCUCUCGGCCCGGGUCCGUGCUGCUCGGGCGCCGCCGCACUUCCUUGCUCGGGCGCGGGUCUCGCGGUUCUCGGGGCGCCCGAGCGCGGGGAAGCCGAG